ensembl:snoRNA
UUGAAGGUCUGUGCACGCAGCAGCCUCCUCCUGGUGGUCAGAUGGUCAGAAAGCAGUGCAGCAUUUGGCAUCCUUGGUUUCCCGUCUGCUGUGCCUGUUAAACCAGGUAUUUUUGCUGAAACAAUC